AAUAGAGCUGGGAUAGAAGUUCAAUUAGCCUUGUGACAUCUUGUCCAUUCAACUACCAUGAACUACUAAGAGACUUUCCCUUUCUUUAACUCCUAGAGUACGUUUUUACUGACAUUCAGCAUCCCAAAAGACUGAAGGUCAAGUAACCUCUUCAGGUCAAGAAGUGGGUUCUCUCCCUGAUCCCCCUGCUGGGGGAGUGAGCGAGCGGCUGCAUGGGGCUGAGCUGCCGACUGGGGUUAAAGCACAAGACAAGACAACCGGAUUCCGUGGAUCCUUUCUGAGCAAUGAUGGGGCAAAUUAAGGAAAAAGAAAAGCAUUAGGCAAUACUUGAAAAAGGACUUUGUCAACUUCUGACUAUUUAAAACUUUUCCCAUAGGAUUGAUUUGAAAUGUCUUGGGUAGUUCUUAUGCUCACACUAAUCAGAAAAGACUCAGUUAUAUGUGUUGGUAAGUGGCAAAUUCCAUAAAAGCUCCUGAUGUCUUUAGGAGAAAUCCACCUGCAGCCUGUAACCAAACUGUGCAUCUCAAGGCAACCCUGAACUUUGCCCUGGACAGUAUGAGGGAAAGAAAUUGCUGAGGGGGGAUGUUACCCAGAUUUAAACUGGGUUUAGUGUUUUUGUCAAGAAACUGAAUAACAACAUCUGUUUUAAAAAAAAGUAAUGUCUGCUUUCAAGAAUCAUCAACUACCUGCACUGACAUAUCCUUCUCCUAAUAAUCCAUAAGGGACUAUUGAAAUAAUAAGUUACAAAUUUGUGAGAAUUGCUUUUGUAAAAAGAUGAUUUCACCAUUAAAAUAAUUAUGUUUUUUAAAUGCUUAGCACUCACAGUCACUAUUUAAAAGUAAACUGUGUCUAUUGUUUUUGAAUUUCUGAUCAAUUUUGUCUCAUGUAGUGGGUGGGCUGCUAUCAGAUGUUUGGCAGACUACAAUGCAAAUUAAGUUUUUUAGUCUAUGGGAAUAUCCAUUAACCAUACACAUUUCCAAACUUUAAAAUGCAUGCUUGAAAAUUACAGGUGAUUAGAUUCUUUGUUGUGAAUUGCAGAACAAAAGCUGAAAAUCUAGCUCUGCUUUUCAUGUAUUAUAUCAAACAAUGAUGCAAUUCCACCAUUGUAUAGAAUAAAAGGUGUGUUCAUGUUUGAAGAACACAGUGUCCAUAAAGUUUAAUCUGCAGUCUUAUGUUCAGAGAGGUUUGUAAAUCGAUUCUUCACUAGAUGCUGUAACUCUUGUCGACUGAAGAUAAAUGGCUGAAUUCCAAGAGAAUACAACACAAAGAAAACCAUUAGCCCUGACAAUUCAUAAACAAAGUAAAGAAUAUUAUUCACUCUUUGUUCUUGUAAAAUAGUAUCCAGGUUUCAAACAC